rnacentral:rRNA from 1 species
GACAGAGGAUGCAAGCGUUAUCCGGAAUGAUUGGGCGUAAAGCGUCUGUAGGUGGCUUUUUAAGUCCGCCGUCAAAUCCCAGGGCUCAACCCUGGACAGGCGGUGGAAACUACCAAGCUGGAGUACGGUAGGGGCAGGAGGGAAUUCCCGGUGUAGCGGUGAAAUGCGCAGAUAUCGGGAAGAACACCCGUGGCGAAGGCGGCUCUCUGGGACGGUACUGACGCUGAGACGCGAAAGCGUGGGGAGCGAACAGG